GCCUGGGUGGCUCAGUGGUUGAGCAUCUGCCUUGAGCUCAGGUCGUGAUCCGGGGUCCUGGGAUUGAGUCCCACAUCAGGCU
rfam:Canis lupus familiaris chromosome 8, whole genome shotgun sequence.